GCUUGACUUGGACUUUGGAAGCAAUUAUAGUCGUCACCCAAGUAGACAUCAAUAUGUUUUUCCUAGUCUGGAGAAUUUGAUGCAAAAGACUCUGAAGAAUUCAAAUGGUUGCAUGUCAAGGUCUGAUUAUUCUUCUUUGGUGUCUCUUCGUUUAAAAGACGUGGAUGUUGGCGAGGAAGUUCUUGAAGACAUUUUAUCUAGUUGCAAAGUUCUUGCGGACUUAUCUGUGGUUGGUUCUGAUUGCUUGAGAAAAUUAAGUGAUUACUUAAUUUAAAGUGCCUGGAGGUAUCAGAGUGUUGGAUGUUAGAAACUUGUGAGAUUGAUGCACCAAAUCUCAAAGCAUUUGAAUAUCUGGGGAAGUUGAUUUCUCCGCUUUUCAAGAAUGUUUCUUCUCUGUCAGAGAUGUCUGUAGGUUGUUUUCUUCUUUGUAAAAUUUAUUAGGAACUUUCGCCAACAUUUCAAGUGCUACUCUCAGCUUAACACUCUCAAAUUGAGAUUGGUACUGGAUUAUGAGGUAUGCAAUGAUUUACCUCUGCAUUUUCCUGAGUUGAGAAAUCUCCAUCAUCUAGAAUUCACAAUUGUUACAAGAGGCAAUAAAAGCCUACUUUGGUGCACCACCCUUGUCAAAGCGUCGCCUUUGUUACAUAACUAUGUGGUUCAUUUAGCAACAGAUGGAGGACAUGGUAGAAUGGUGAG